GACGAACCGUGCGAACGUUGUUCGGAUUCACUGGGCUUAAAGGGCGCGUAGGCGGGUCGCUAAGUCCGGGGUGAAAGCCCCCAGCUUAACUGGGGAAGUGCCUCGGAUACUGGCGGCCUCGAGGGGGAUAGGGGCCCGCGGAACUUCGGGUGGAGCGGUGAAAUGCGUUGAUAUCUGGAGGAACACCGGUGGCGAAGGCGACAUCCUGGACCAACACUGACGCUGAGGAGCGAAAGCCAGGGGAGCAAACGGG
rnacentral:rRNA from 1 species